CAUCUUUCACCUACCAAAGUCGCUAACGGCGGCGGCGGAGAUCAAACUCUCAAGUGUUUCCGACCGGCCCCCGUCGCCGUCACGGAUUCUACCCUUGGCCCCCAGCGCCCCAAUUUCUUCGAUGCUUCCAGCCCCACUCGUCCCACACCAGGUUAGUCACAGAAAGUUUGAUGAAAGGCGUCAGAAAGAUCAAAUCCGAUAUCGCCAAUGGCAACAUCACAAUUCACAUAGUUGGAUGUCACCUUCUCCUCCAGGUAAUUGCUUUGGACAAGAUCGAAAAAUCAAGCGGGCACAUUGCACAGAAUAUCCUCCCCCAUGUCAAAGUUUUCGAUCACGAAUCAGUAAAGAAGGCAAUUGACUCAAUUACAUCCCACGAAGGACAAGAAGUUUUUUUGCUGGCACAGAUUGUGAUCUGAAGGAGGUUGUUCAUUCAGAGAAUAUUAUAUCGAAUAUAAAAGUUCACCAUCCCAACCAUGUCACAAACAAGAUAUGUGACCCUUCAUCUUCAAAGGUCCCCCUUCGUGCUGCUAGUAAGAUUAAUUAAGCCACGAAGCACUAUUGGCCCUGUAGAGUUUGCCAACAUAAUGAGACGCAAGUACCCAAACAUGGCAAAUGACCUCGUUGGAAUCAUUCUGAAGGAGCACAAUACCAGGCUUAUGGCAAACAUCUCCGAGAUACGGCACACCACCCAAAUUGGGAUGCUAAAAUUUCUCGACGAGCUAGGGGCAUGUUUGUCCAGCAGAUGCAUAUGUUGCCAACUUGCCGGUCUUACGACAUGCCGUUUGGUAGAUACCAACACAGCAGGACAAAUAAUUGUCAAUGACCGGCUGGGACAACAGCACGAUCUUUCCGACAGCGAAGGCAGCUCCACUGGGCAUGUACAUCAAGCUCGGAAAAAGGGUAUAUGUACAGAGCAGUGAUAACAUUAUGGACGACACGCACAUCGGCCAAAACAAGAAGCACUAUAUAACCAACAAGGCACUUAUGUUCAUGACGGCAACCACGACAAUCCAUCCACUCCAGAAAGGGGCAUCGACUCAUCCGCUGACCUAACGAGCCUUGUUUUCUAUCAUGAUGAUCUUUUUUCCAGUAUCGUACUCGCUUACCAAGAUUGCACGGGAGUUUCUUUCUCACAGUUAACAGACACGACCCCACCCGCCAGACAUUUAUCUUGAAAAUCAUUUGUGUCAGACCCAUGGUCUUCGACUCCACCGUCACACACCCCACUGGCUGAUUCAAGCAAAAUCUUUGCAUUCUGCAUCUCUAAUGAUCAGCCUGACAGCAUGUCUAGGACAUGGAUCGAGCACCCCACGCCCAGGCUGUUGUUAGUGCAGGGGUAUAUUUUAUGUGACUAGAUCAUCGGAAAAGAUGCAAUAAGCCAUGAAUGCUUGACUCCCAUUGUUCGUCGAUUAGCACAAAUCCAACACACCAAUUCGAAAGAUGGAGAUUUUGCAAUUUGGUGAAAGUUCGUCGAGCCAGACUUUACGACACUUGCCAUCCGCAACAUAGACCCAACGUUCGCCGUCUUAGUCCAAACAGAACUCCUAAUGGAGAAAUACAUCGACCAGUGCCGAAUGUUCAUUUUCCACACCCCUCUGCAUUAUGGAUGGUGCUGUUAUAUUUUAGAUAUGCUGAGGAAGAGGAUUGUUGUUCUAGAUCCGCAAGCAGGCCCAUUUGGAUUUACAUCCGACAGAGUCAAAUUCCAUGAACAAAUCAGUCAUGCUAUCCAUGGGGCAUUCUUCAAAUGUGUGCAAACUUUAUUCUCAAGUUGGCCAUGCACUUCUGAUGGAUGGACCAGAGAGUUUCCUACUUUGAUGAUAGAAAAAAUUGCAAGUGAGGAGUCCGCCAUCUAUUCGUUAUUCAUGGCAAGGCACUAUGAGGCGAGACACUACGGAACCCGACCACGAAGGAAAACAUAUGUGCCUAUCGCCGAGCCAUCCUCCAAGACGUUCUGAAGCUUGAGGACAGCAAAUCGGACACACCGUACAAGGCAAUGCAGCACAUCAGAGCAACUGUAAACAAUUUGUAGUUUGGUAGACAUCUUCAGAAACCAGAUGAGAAAUGUACCCCCCUAGUCGGCUCAAUAGUUUAUCAAGUCAGAUAGCAGGAGUUUGGUUUGCACAAACAUCCUUAUGUACUGUACCGUAGCAAUUAGUAUCCAGACCAAUAUAAUCUACA